rnacentral:rRNA from 1 species
AUUGAACGCUGGCGGCAGGCUUAACACAUGCAAGUCGAGCGCGCGGCAGACGGGUGAGUAAUGUCUGGGAAACAGCCUGAUGGAUGGGGAUAACUACUGGAAACGGUACCUAAUACCGCAUACCAUCAGAUGUGCGAAGAUGGGAGUAGCUAGUAGGUGGGGUAAUGGCUCACCUAGGCGACGAUCCCUAGCUGGGCUGAGAGGGUGACCAGCCACACUGGAACUGAGACACGGUCCAGACUCCUACGGGAGGCAGCAGUGGGGAAUAUUGCACAAUGGGCGAAAGCCUGAUGCAGCCAUGCCGCGUGUGUGAAGAAGGCCUUCGGGUUGUAAAGCACUGUCAGCGGGGAGGCGUUACUCGCAGAAGAAGCACCGGCUAACUCCGUGCCAGCAGCCGCGGUAAUAC